rnacentral:rRNA from 1 species
GUGAGGAAUUUUCCGCAAUGGGCGAAAGCCUGACGGAGCAAUGCAGCGUGAAGGAUGAAGGCCUAUGGGUUGUAAACUUCUUUUCUCAGAAAAGAAUUAUGACGGUAUCUGAGGAAUAAGCAUCGGCUAACUCUGUGCCAGCAGCCGCGGUAAGACAGAGGAUGCAAGCGUUAUCCGGAAUGAUUGGGCGUAAAGCGUCUGUAGGUUGUUUAAAAAGUAUUCUGUCAAAGAUUAGGGCUUAACCCUAGAUAGGCAGAAUAAACUUUUAAGCUAGAGUUUGGUAGAGGCAGAGGGAAUUCCCGGUGGAGCGGUGAAAUGCGUAGAUAUCGGGAGGAACACCAAAGGCGAAGGCACUCUGCUGGGCCAAUACUAACACUGAGAGACGAAAGCGAGGGGAGCAAAUGGGAUUAGAUACCCUUGUAGUCC